rnacentral:rRNA from 1 species
GAAGGCUAGAAUGAAAGGUUGGACGAGGGAUGAGCUGUCUCCUUUACGUAAUUUGAAUUUAACUUUUGAGUGAAAAGGCUCAAAUUAUUUAGUGGGACGAUAAGACCCUAUAAAACUUUAUAUAAGUUUAAUUUGGCUUACAAUUUGAGUGAAAAGUAGCUUUAUUAGGUUUAUAUUUCGUUGGGGAGAUGUAGAUAUAAUGUGUAACUGUCUGUUUAAUUUAAUAAUUAUAAUUAGUGUGUGAUCCUUCUUUGUGGAUUAAAAGUAUAAGUUACUUUAGGGAUAACAGCGUGAUUUUCUUUGAGAGUUCUUAUCGACAAGAGUAGUUGCGACCUCGAUGUUGAAUUAAAAUUUCAGUUAGGUGUAGCCGUCUAGCUGGUAGGUCUGUUCGACCUUUAAAAUUUUACAUGAUUUGAGUUCAAACCGGUGUGAGCCAGGUUGGUUUCUAUCUAA